UACGUAGGGGGCAAGCGUUGUCCGGAAUCAUUGGGCGUAAAGCGCGUGUAGGCGGCCCGGUAAGUCCGCUGUGAAAGUCGGGGGCUCAACCCUCGAAUGCCGGUGGAUACUGUCGGGCUAGAGUGCGGGAGAGGCGAGUGGAAUUCCUGGUGUAGCGGUGAAAUGCGCAGAUAUCAGGAGGAACACCAAUUGCGAAGGCAGCUCGCUGGAACGUAACUGACGCUGAGACACGAAAGCGUGGGGAGCAAACAGG
rnacentral:rRNA from 1 species